rnacentral:rRNA from 1 species
GGGUUGUAAAGCUCUUUCGUCGGGGAAGAAAAUGACUGUACCCGAAUAAGAAGGUCCGGCUAACUUCGUGCCAGCAGCCGCGGUAAUACGAAGGGACCUAGCGUAGUUCGGAAUUACUGGGCUUAAAGAGUUCGUAGGUGGUUGAAAAAGUUGGUGGUGAAAUCCCAGAGCUUAACUCUGGAACUGCCAUCAAAACUUUUCAGCUAGAGUAUGAUAGAGGAAAGUAGAAUUUCUAGUGUAGAGGUGAAAUUCGUAGAUAUUAGAAAGAAUACCAAUUGCGAAGGCAGCUUUCUGGAUCAUUACUGACACUGAGGAACGAAAGCAUGGGUAGCGAAGAGGAUUAGAUACCCUCGUAGUCCAUGCCGUAAACGAUGUGUGUUAGACGUUGGAAAUUUAUUUUCAGUGUCGCAGCGAAAGCAUUAAACACACCGCCUGGGGAGUACGACCGCAAGGUUAAAACUCAAAUGAAUUGACGGGGACCCGCACAAGUAGUGGAGCAUGUGGUUUAAUUCGAAGAUACGCGCAGAACCUUACCAACACUUGACAUGUUCGUCGCGACUUUAAGAGAUUAAAGUUUUCGGUUCGGCCGGACGAAACACAGGUGCUGCAUGGCUGUCGUCAGCUCGUGUCGUGAGAUGUUGGGUUAAGUCCCGCAACGAGCGCAACCCUCACUUUUAGUUGCCAUCAUUAAGUUGGGCACUCUGAAAGAACUGCCAGUGAUAAGCUGGAGGAAGGUGGGGAUGACGUCAAGUCCUCAUGGCCCUUACGUGUUGGGCUACACACGUGCUACAAUGGUAUCUACAACAGGAAGCAAGACGGCGACGUUAAGCAAAUCCUUAAAAGAUACCUCAGUUCGGAUUGCACUCUGCAACUCGAGUGCAUGAAGCUGGAAUUACUAGUAAUCGUGGAUCAGCGUGCCACGGUGAAUGCGUUCCCGGGUCUUGUACACACCGCCCGUCACACCAUGGGAGUUGGUUCUACCUUAAGGCAAGGUUUUAAACCCUUGACCACGGUAUAGUCAGCGACUGGGGUGAAGUCGUAACAAGGUAGCCGUA